CAGCAGCCGCGGUAAUACAGAGGAUGCAACCAUUAUCUGGAAUGAUUGGGCGUAAAGCGUCUGUAAGUGGCUUUUCAAGUCCGUCGUCAAAUCCCAGGGCUCAACCCUGGACAGGCGGUGGAAACUACCAAGAUGGAGUACGGUAGGGGCAGAGGGAAUUUUCGGUGGAGCGGUGAAAUGCGUUGAGAUCGGAAAGAACACCAACGGCGAAAGCACUCUGCUGGGCCGACACUGACACUGAGAGACGAAAGCUAGGGGAGAAAAUGGGAUUAGAUUCCCGAGUAGUCCCUGUCUCUUAUAC
rnacentral:rRNA from 1 species